GUGAGUAACGCGUUGGUGACCUGCCCUAAAGAAGGGAACACCCUCGGGAAACUGAGGCUAAUACCCUAUGUGCUUCUGGGAUUAGAUGCUCUUGAAGUAAAGGUUCUGUGGACGAAAGGACACAGCAUCGCUUUAGGAGGGGCCUGCGUCCCAUCAUGCUAGUUGGUAGGGUAAUGGCCUACCAAGGCGAUGACGGGUAGGGGACCUGAGAGGGGACCCCCCACACUAGCACUGAAACACGGGCUAGACACCUACGGGUGGCAGCAGUAGGGAAUAUUGCACAAUCGACGAAAGUCCGAUGCAGCAACGCCGCGUGUGCGAUGAAGGCCUUCGGGUUGUAAAGCACUUUUAUGAGGGAAGAGAAAGGACGGUACCUCAGGAAUAAGUCUCGGCUAACUACGUGCCAGCAGCCGCGGUAAUACGUAGGAGGCAAGCGUUAUCCGGAUUCAUUGGGCGUAAAGCGCGUGCAGGUGGUUUGGUAAGUUGGGUAUGAAAUCUUCUGGCUUAACUAGGAGAGGUUGCUCAAAACUGUCAGACUAGAGGACGAUAGAGGAAGGUGGAAUUCCCGGUGUAGUAGUGAAAUGCGUAGAUAUCGGGAGGAACACCAGUGGCGAAGGCGGCCUUUGGGUCGUUCCUGACACUAAGACGCGAAAGCAUGGGUAGCAAACGGGAUUAGAAACCCCGGUAGUCCGUGCCGUAAACGAUGUGAACUUUAUGUCGGUGG
rnacentral:rRNA from 1 species